rnacentral:misc_RNA from 1 species
GAUGAAGAACGCAGCGAAAUGCGAUAAGUAAUGUGAAUUGCAGAAUUCAGUGAAUCAUCGAAUCUUUGAACGCACAUUGCGCCCCCUGGUAUUCCGGGGGGCAUGCCUGUUCGAGCGUCAUUUCACCACUCAAGCCUCGCUUGGUAUUGGGCAACGCGGUCCGCCGCGUGCCUCAAAUCGACCGGCUGGGUCUUCUGUCCCCUAAGCGUUGUGGAAACUAUUCGCUAAAGGGUGUUCGGGAGGCUACGCCGUAAAACAACCCCAUUUCUAAGGUUGACCUCGGAUCAGGUAGGGAAACCCGCUGAACUUAAGCAUAUCAAUAAGCGGAGGA